CUGGUCUUGAACUCCUGACCUCAGGUGAUCUGCCUGUCUUGGCCUCCCAAAGUGUGAGGAUUGUAGGGGUGAACCACCACACCUGGUGUCUGAAUUCUUUUUGGCAAAUAAAGUUGUGAUUGAUACCUAAGCCUGGUAAAGACAGUACAGAAAAGGAAAUUACAAUCCAAUAUGAAUAUAGAAGAAAAAACAAAACGAGCAAAAAAGUCUAAUAUAAAGUUAGUAAUAAUAUAUACCUUCUAAAAUUUGUUUGUGUUGAAUUUAAUUCAUUUAUUUUAAUACUUUUAGUGAUAUAACUGUUGAAGGUUACGAAUUCUCCUUUGACCAUUGUUUUACAUUUGUACUAUAGUUUCUGUUAUGUAGUAUUUUUGUUAUCAUUCUUUCAGUCUAGUUUGUAUUUUCCCUUUCAUGUACAAAUUGCUUAAUAAAACAUUUACUUUUCAAGUAGAAAGGCCUUUUGCUUUUUAAAAUUUUGUUAUUAACUUCUAGUUUGUUGUAUUUCGAUUUGAUACUGUAAUAUCUCUACCUUGUGGCACUUACUCAUGCUUUCUUUGAGAUCAAAUGGAGGAUCAUAUGUAUACACACAGACAACAUAAGAUCUUCCGUAAGAUUUUGUUGCUUCAGUGUUGUGUAUCUUUUUUUUCGUCCACUUGAUCUGUCUUGUACUGAGAGUGAUGUGUUAAAAUGUCUUAGUAUUUGUGUGCUUCUGUUUAUAUCUCGUUGCAUCUCCUGUAGUUUUUGGCUUCAGGUAGUUGCUGCAUUAUUUGGUACAUAGGUAUUUAUAACUGUUUAUAUUUCACUUAAGAAUUGUAGAUUUUAGCAUUAAUACCUAGUAUUAGCCAUUAAUACCUUUUGGCUUGAAUUCUGCUGUGUCUGAUAUCAGCAUAACAAUCACUGCUUUCUGUUUUCAUUAACCUAGUGUCACUUUUUCUUUUUAGCCUUUUUCUGUUUUUGGUGUCUCUUGUAUAUAGUGUAUAUUUGGGUCUUGUUUUAGGAGAAAAAUUUAAAAUCUUUUUUGUUUAAGCCUGAAAUGUAUUUGAGUUGUGAAAUAAAGGCAGGUUUUUUUUGAUAGCCUGAUUUGGCCUUUGGUCGAUAGUGGGUGUUUACCAUAAAUUGAAUGAGCUGUUUGCUGCUGUAUGGUUUGGGUGAAAGUAUAUUUGAAACAUAUGAUAAGGCAAAAGCAUUUUAUAAAACAGAUAUUAUUUCGGCAGAAGGAUAUUGAAAUUAACAAUAUUUUGAUGUUUUCUACCUUUUGGAGUAUAUCAAAUUAAACUGCUAAGGGAAACAGUAGCAGGUAUAAUUAAUAAUCAUUUGACAAGUCAUAGUAAUACUGUUUUGGAAUACUUCCCAGAAAUGGAAAAACUGAGUAAUUGUAGCAAAUGUAUAAUGCAUCCUACUGUAAGUCAUGUAGUUUCUAGUUAUUUGCUUUCAACAAAUUGUAAGAGGACCUAACAUCAAUUGCUACAACAUUAAAAAUGAUUUCUGGUGGUAGAUCACAAUGUGAAUUUUGGCAUAGAAACAAUUG